rnacentral:rRNA from 1 species
GGUUUUUUGUUUAAUAUUUAAGAUUUGGCCUGCCCACUGAUAUUUAAAUGGCCGCAGUAUUUUGACUGUGCUAAGGUAGCAUAAUCAUUAGUUUUUUUAUUGAAAACUGGAAUGAAGGGUUGGAUGAAAAAAAAUCUGUCUUUAUGUUAAUUAUUAGAAUUUUAUUUUUAAGUUAAAAAGCUUAAAUUUUAUUAAAAGACGAGAAGACCCUAUAGAGUUUGAUAAUAUUUUAAUUAUUAUUUUUUUUUAGGAUUGAUUUAAAUAUUUAAAAUUUUAUUUUAUUGGGGUGAUAUAAAAAUUUAAUUAACUUUUUAAAUAUUAUUAUAUAAAUUAAUAGAAUAUUGAUCCAAUUUUUUGAUUAUUAGAUUAAGUUACCUUAGGGAUAACAGCGUAAUUUUAUUUGAGAGUUCAAAUCGAAAAUAGAGAUUGCGACCUCGAUGUUGGAUUAAAAUUUAUAUUUGGUGUAGAAGCUAAUUAAUUAAGUCUGUUCGACUUUUAAAAUUUUACA